GGAUCAAUGAUGAAUCCAAAUAAACAUUACUUGGAAAGCUGAACAAAAUGAGUGAAGACUCUAUACCGUUGUCCUCAAUGAACUGAGGUCC